rnacentral:lncRNA from 1 species
CCCCUGAACUGGUAAUUUUAGGGAAUUUUUGCUGUUUUUGGCUAUUAUCUUGAAUAUUAUUAUAGAUAGAGAUAAACUGUAAACAGCAAUAAUGUUCAGCAAAGUAAGAUUUACAAAUAAGUCAACAUGACCAAAAUGGUCAGUUGACCCCUUUAGGAGUUAUUGACCUUUAUAGUCAAUUUUUAACCAUUUUUCGUAAAUCUUAGUAAUCUUUUACAAAAAUCUUCUCCUCUGAAACUACUGGACCAAAUUAAUCCAAACUUGGCCACAAUCAUCUUUGGAAUAUCUAGUUUAAAAAAUGUGUGGCGUGACACGGCCAACC